GGUGAUUUAGCUCAGUUGGUCAGAGCCACCGGCUCAUAACCGGAAGGUCCAAGGUUCGAAGCCUUGAAUCACCA
rnacentral:tRNA from 1 species